rnacentral:misc_RNA from 1 species
AAGUCGUAACAAGGUUUCCGUAGGUGAACCUGCGGAAGGAUCAUUAACACGUGAUUUUCUCACGUAUUAUCCACAACCGUUUUCCCGCUGCGUGGUGAGGGUAAUCGAUGGACGAAUGGUUGCGCCUGAGAAUACUCGGCUUGUCUGUCGGUUGGGGGUCCAGCAGCUUCGUCUCGCUGAGAUCCUGCCCAAUACACGUGGAUGGUGUAAGGAGUUCCGGAUUACUAACGCGUGCACCUUCGUAUAGGUCCGGGAUCGUGCUUUUCUUUUUAUAACCAUUCUUUGUUUAUUAACUGAUUACUUGACUGUCUUUUGGAUUCCUGGUCUCAACCGGUUGAGUCUGACUGAUAUGUCGCUUAUUAAUUACGAAACAACUCUUAGCAACGGAUAUCUUGGUUCUC